GCGCGCCUAGCUCAGUUGGUUAGAGCAUCUCGUUUACACCGAGGGGGUCAGGGGUUCGAAUCCCUUGGCGCGUA
rfam:Candidatus Magasanikbacteria bacterium RIFOXYC12_FTLL_32_21b rifoxyc3_full_scaffold_21242, whole genome shotgun sequence.